AAUAGUUAGGGCUCAAAACGUACUUGGUUCGGCCACUUACAAAUUUAAUUACUUAGCUAUUUAGCCAAGCCCAAUCAGCAAGCUAAAUAAUCAAGUAUAUCAUUAAAAUCAUUAUUAACAUUCAAUUUUUUUAGUUAGGACCCAUACCUUAUUUUUCGCACUUCUAUAACGCACUUGUAAUUGUGGCGAUUUCUCUAAUAAUUUUUAAAAUUAAAUUAAACUAAAAAUCAGUAUUAAACUCGAUUAUUACACCUCCUAAAUAGCUCUCAAAUACCCACUUAUGGGUUCAAUCCGAUGUUUACAAUUAUAACUAUUUUUUGAAUCCAAACUAUACACUGAUUUGAUGCGAACCGUACGCGCGAACGUCUUUCAACUUCAUGUUGGUUUGGGGCAUUUAAGUCGGCACCUAACACAUUUAAAUAAUUUAAAAUUAGUAGUUAAUCCAUGAGUAAAAAUAUUUAUUUGAUCAAUUAAGAAUCUUUCCCCAAUAUCUAAACCAAAACUAUAAAUUAGCUUACAAUCAACCAUACAUACGCUUCCUGAAUUGUCAAUCUAAAUUGCCGAUUGAUCAAGAUUUAUUUUCCCUAAUUAACACAUAAUUAAAGGCUGAUUAUGAAGGGUUCAAGAAACCAAAGAUAAUGCUGAAAAAAGAUGGGAAAACUUAAAGAAGCAACAACCCCCUUCUUGCCCAUAGAAGUAUGUACCACCACCAAUGGUGGGCAAAUUGGGUCUGAUUUAAAACCACCUUUAAGAUCACUUAGAAAACUGAAAAAAUUUCUUUUUAAAUAUUUAAAAAUCCCUCAAAUUUUAGAUCUAGAAGUUUUCAUUUUUAACUCACAAUAUUCAUCAAGAAAUUGAGAGAAAUAAACUUACACAAACUAGGUGAUAGGGGUGCAAUGGCACUUCUUGGCAAGAAUAAGAAUCGAUCUUGGAGGUCCAAUUUCAGAUUUGGUGCUGGAAAAUUAAGGGGAAAAUGGAAGCAAUGUUUUGAGGAAGAUGAUUCAAGAUAUUAUGGCAAAAAGAAAAGAAAAAAAAGAUGGUGAUGUAAGGGUUUGGGCGACGAAAAUAAGGAAAGGAGAAAGAAAAAUUGGAAAGAGAGGAGGAAAAGAGAAGGGAGGAACGGCUAGGGUGGAGAAAAUGGGAUUAAAGCUGAUCAAUUUGUUUAAAAAUAAUAUUUAUACCUAGGUCUAUAAGGGUAUGGACGACACACACAUUAAUAAAACAAGGUAUAUUGCAAAAUUUAAUUAUUUUGCAAGAGAAAGGAUUCAAACUUGGGACCUUAAUUUAACUAUCAUGCUUUCAUAAUUACCAAUCAACCCUUGUACUAUUCCAUUAUUUUUGAAAUAAUUUUGCAUUCUCAUUAAUCUAAAAUUUGGGAUGUUACAGAAAAUCACAUACCUUAGGAUUGUUGCUUUAACAAUGACAUUAUACAUCUAGAUUACUUUUUCUCCUACGGAAUAUUGAAAACUAUCGACCAAACUCGUGCUGAUAACGCAUUAUGAAAUAAUUAAAGGAAAUAACAAACUAAAGAGAAAAAAUCAAAACAAAGAGGUAAUACAAUAGAAAGAUAAAGAAGAGAACUUUUU
rnacentral:lncRNA from 1 species